AUACGGAGGAUCCAAGCGUUAUCCGGAUUUAUUGGGUUUAAAGGGUGCGCAGGCGGCCAUUUAAGUCAGCGGUUAAAUCGUGGGGCUCAACCCCAUUCUGCCGUUGAUACUGGGUGGCUUGAUUGCGGUCGAGGUUGGCGGAAUUCGUUGUGUAGCGGUGAAAUGCAUAGAUAUGACGAAGAACACCGAUUGCGUAGGCAGCUGACCAGACCGCAAAUGACGCUCAUGCACGAAAGUGCGGGGAUCGAACAGGAUUAGAUACCCUGGUAGUCCGCACAGUAAACGAUGAAUACUUGUUUUCGGCGAUAUAAUGUCGGAGGCAAAGCGAAAGCGAUAAGUAUUCCACCUGGGGAGUACGCCGGCAACGGUGAAACUCAAAUGAAUUGGCGGGG
rnacentral:rRNA from 1 species